rnacentral:tmRNA from 2 species
GGGGCUGAUUCUGGAUUCGACGGGAUUUGCGAAACCCAAGGUGCAUGCCGAGGGGCGGUUUGCCUCGUUAAAAGCCGCAAAAAAAUAGUCGCAAACGACGAAAACUACGCUUUAGCAGCUUAAUAACCUGCUCUGAGCCCUCUCUCCCUAGCUUCCGCUCUUAAGACGGGGAUCAAAG